UCAUAAGUAAGAGUCUUUUAGAUCUAUCUUUUUUUGUUUUAAGUAAUCUAGACAUUAUCUUUUAGUAUUUUGGGUGAAUCUUUUUAUUAAAGAAAAGACCAGACUUGUCGAAAUUUAUGAGCUGAUCAGAGGCUUUAAUAAAGAUAUUUAUGAUUUUUAGAAGGUUAUUACAUCCAUUUAAGUCAGCCUUGCCAAAUAGUAAGCAGUCAUCUGAAGAAAAAAAAAAAAAGUGAGAUGGGUUCAUUUUUUGGUGAAAGUUUCACUCCAUGUAACAGUUUGUUAUGUUCUCAAUUUAGGAGAAGUCGAGAAAACAAAUUCCAUGCGUAUGAUGAAAAUACCCGGGGAUAAAGGAUCCCCUUAUAUAAGACCCCUUGAAUAAUUGAAAGAAUCACCAGGGGAGUCAUUCAGAAGAACAACUAUAUAGGUAGUGGAGAUGCAUUGCCUAAUCUAUCUUACAAAAACAAAUGGUUUUUUUGCCAAAUCCGAUGGUUUUUAAUUGCCCUUUCUCAGCAAUCGGUGGUUCAUAUUACUUUCAAAAUGUUGGAAAGUGAAGGAGAUGAAUCGUGGUUGAAAUUGCAUCCUUCUUCCACGCCCUCAUCCACCAUCCCAGAUUCAAUGUCUUAAUUUCUUCUCCUUUAAUUUCCAUCAGUUACUCCUAGGGUUUUCAUGCGUAACGGGAUGACAACCAUGAUUCUCUUUAAUUCAAACCAGAAUAAUGCGUUACUCAUUAACAACAUCGUAUCAAUCGUUCUACAUAAAACCUCUAAAAGUUAUCUUGCACGGGGUUCCAGUGCUUUCCAGUCUCCUUUUUCUUUAUCAAGAUCUGUUCAUGUAAGUUUUUAUGUGAUUUUUCUAGGGAAAUCUCUAUGUUUUUAAUAUUGUUGUUACUAUCCUAUUAACCCAGCUCUAAGUUUAGGGUUUAAAAUUACCUGCUGAUUUUUGUUCUUUGUUUUUUGUUUAUACAUCAUCACUGGAAAAUUGAUUUCAAAGUCAUAAUCACUUGAAAAUUAAUUAUCCAUCAUUUAAUUGUUGUGAAUUUUCAAAGAUUAGAUAUUAUACGAACCACUUAGUUGAUCAAAUAAUGUUGAUGCCCGCAUCAAGGGGAUGAACUGCAUGGUGUUGGAUCAAAGAAGCUCAUCUGAAACUCGAUCGAUCUGUUGCUACUUGCUACACGCUGGUGGAAAUGAGGUUAAUUGCGAUUUGUUUUUCAUCUAUAUAGUGGUAGGUCCCUUAAGAACUUGGGCAGAAAAUUUUGAAGUGACUAAUCAUCACUAAAGGGUUGCAAAAAGUUUGAAAUCCAGUAUGUAGCGAACCUACCUUAAAAUAAAUCUUAUAGAUCGGUAUAUUCACUAUAUGUAUCUCGAAAUAUAUUGAAUAUAAAGUUGUCUAAUUAUAACAUAAAAUUGCAUCUGUUCUUGAUUUGCAGCUCAAAAAGAAUUGGUUAUUCGAGCAUCAAGGAACAAUGUUCAGUUUUGGGUAACAAGUCUCAACAAGGGUAGCACCAUGUUAUAUAUGAGUCGUCAGGAGGCCAACUACUUUGAAUUAGAUGAUGGUGUUGAUAACGAGUCAUAAUUGCAUCACAAUUUAGGACUCCUCUUCAGGUUGUUUUUUUAGGACUCCUCGCUCUUUAACUUUUAUGCAACAAAAUUAAAAGAUGACGAAUUGAGCAGACGACAUGUACAAAGUGAGUUAUUUCUCCUAGCAAGACUUCUCUGCCAACCAAUUUCAAAUCCAAUUGUGGCUUUGCUUGAAGUGGUUGUUGUAUCUUGAGGAUCUAAUGAAGAGAAAGAAAUAAUUGGAAUCGAAAAGUUCGUGUCAAUUAGUUGUUCAAAUGUUGUCGUCACUAAAGUUAGUUGAUAAUCAGUUUCAUCAAUAUAUUUUCGAGUACUUAACGCCGUUUUCUCGCUUCUUUAAAAUAGAGAAGAAGAACUCCGUCGUGUUACAAAGGUAACAUUAGGAGGAAUAUAUUGCAGGUAUACUGCAUUCUUCGCCAACUUCAAUUAGGUCAAGGUAGUUCUCAUAGUUGUAUCACUAUGUUGUACAUGGUGCACCAAAUUUUGAUUGUAUGGGCACUGAAAAGUCAAUUAUCUUGAUAUUUGUGGUGUCUGUUAUUGGAGUUUGGUCAGGUUGGAUAUCUAGAGCGUGCCAUUUAUAGUUCACUGUUAUGUAGUGAUCACCUUCUUGCACGAACCACUCAUGGUAAAACAUUAAUAAUGGGUGUCAUUAAUAAUUAGAUGAACUUCAUCAACAACACUUGGUGAUCCAGUCUCCAUUUGGUAAAUGAUUGUGAUUUCUGGGAUUUCAGAAAGUAAAAGAUCUCCUUUCUAUUCCUUUUAUCUUGAAAGUGAUUGGUUGGUUCUGUAUCUAGGCCUACAAGUUCAAGACUCUGAUGAUAAGAAGUUCUUGGUUGACACUAUUUUUUCAUUAGAAGAAGGCGAUAACUCUACUCUACUUUGCUUGCUUGAGUAUGUAUACACUUCAUUCACUCUCAUUCACAAGAUUUGAUUCAUUUUAUAUUUGCCUCCAAUACUUUUUGUGGUUUUAGUUUAACAUAUAUGGUUUUGGCCUUAUGGGUUUAGCAUCUGUGAUGUUACAGUUUUCGCCAAGUAUGUGAUUGACUAUGUGUUUAUAUGAUCUCUGAGAAUCCUGACCUUGCAAAUGAAUUUUCAGGGAGUUUUGUUCUUACCUGUGGUUGUGGAUUGACUUUCAUUUUGCAGUUGUCAAAUUAACGCAUUUUGCAAUAGCUAUAUGUAGGGUUGUUGAGUUUUAUGCUCAAGAAUUUUGUGAUUUUAGGAUUUAUUAGCCAUAGGGCAGGCUACAACCGCUACCUUUGUAUGUAACACAAUCUAAAGAAGCACGUAUAUGGGAUCUGAGGUGUGGAAGGCCAAUAUAGUUUUUUACUCCUGGCAAUCGAAUUUUAACCUUAGAUCCAGAUGAGGUUAGUUUUGUUCUUCAAGCCCGUUGCUGAUCUUCUAGCACCAAUAUACGAUUUUGAAGUGCAAAUGUAGCCAAGGAUUUUGGGGUUUUAAGUACCAACUGUUUUGAGCAUGAGUCAAAUAUCAUAGGAGAUGUUAAAUUUUAAUUUACUUGUUCCAUUUAACUCAUAGAGCAGAAUAUGUGAUAUAUCUAGCUAGGAAAGUCCUUGGCCUUGGUUAAGCAGAAUCUUCUAUAACUUUCACUCUGUUGAGCUUCUAUCAUUUAUAGUAAUUCUUUCAUGUUAGGUGACCAAUUUGAUAAUUAUGAUGACCAUAGUUGUGAGCAGAGUUAUGGAGUCUCAGAGAGCCUAGGUCAUGAUCAUUCUAUAUUAUCAAGAUUCGUCCUUUUUUUUUCUUUUUUUUUUGCUUUUAAGCCCAUUCCUUGAUAUAAGUAUUGCAGAUACAGAGACACAAAAGUAUUAUAGUAUACCCUGAAGUGUUUCAUGAAGAAACAAUUCCACUCUGAUAUUUUUUGUAUUUGGGAAGCUACUCAUUUUUUCUCACUGCAAAGUUGUACCAGCAAAUUUUUGGUCUGAGCCCAAUUUUUUACCC